rnacentral:rRNA from 1 species
UUUCCGGUUGAUCCCGCCGGACCUGACUGCUAUCGGAUUGAUACUAAGCCAUGCGAGUCUUUGCAGUAAUGCAAGGCAUACGGCUCAGUAACACGUAGUCAACCUACCCUAUGGACGAGAAUAAUCUCGGGAAACUGAGCAUAAUUCUUGAUAGAUCAUAAUGCCUGGAAUGGUUUAUGGUUAAAAUGAUUCGUCGCCAUAGGAUGGGACUGCGGCCUAUCAGCUUGUUGGUGAGGUAAUGGCCCACCAAGGCGAUUACAGGUACGGGCUCUGAGAGGAGAAGCCCGGAGAUGGGUACUGAGACACGGACCCAGGCCCUAUGGGGCGCAGCAGGCGAGAAAACUUUGCAAUGUGCGAAAGCACGACAAGGUUAAUCCGAGUGAUUUCUGCUAAAGAAAUCUUUUGCCAGUCGUAAAACCGCUGGUGAAUAAGGGGUGGGCAAGUUCUGGUGUCAGCCGCCGCGGUAAAACCAGCACCUCAAGUGGUCAGGAUGAUUAUUGGGCCUAAAGCAUCCGUAGCCGGCUUUGUAAGUUUUCGGUUAAAUCCAUGUGCUCAACGCAUGGGCUGCCGAAAAUACUGCAUAGCUAGGGAGUGGGAGAGGUAGACGGUACUCAGUAGGUAGGGGUAAAAUCCUUUGAUCUAUUGAUGACCACCUGUGGCGAAGGCGGUCUACCAGAACACGUUCGACGGUGAGGGAUGAAAGCUGGGGGAGCAAACCGGAUUAGAUACCCGGGUAGUCCCAGCUGUAAACGAUGCAGACUAGAUGAUGCAUUGGCAUAAUAGCCAUUGCAGUGUCUCAGGGAAGCCGUUAAGUCUGCCGCCUGGGAAGUACGUACGCAAGUAUGAAACUUAAAGGAAUUGGCGGGGGAGCACCACAAGGGGUGAAGCCUGCGGUUCAAUUGGAUUCAACGCCGGAA